rnacentral:misc_RNA from 1 species
CUCCAGGACUUCUUUAAUGUUGAGAUACAUGAAGAUAGUAGUAAAAACUUGCAAUCAGCCUCAUCUUCUCUAUGAUUUAGGGGGGGCAGUGGAUUCACUCGAGGAGUCGAGGACUUUUGCAUAUUACUGAAGACUAAAUUGUGAUAAAUCUGUUCUCCUGUGCUCUCACCCCUCUGCCAGGUCUCCUCCUAGUCCAUACCCUGCUGUCUUUACUUUCAUUGCAUAAAAUAUUAUCUAUAAUGCCCAG